rnacentral:misc_RNA from 1 species
UCUUUCUUUCUCUCCCUCUCUUGCUCUUUCUCCCUCUCUCAUUUCCGCUUUCUACCUCUCAUCCCGUUGGAUCGAGAAGGCGCGAGAGAGCGGAUUGUAAUCGUUCCGUGUGGUCCACGCGCGUGCGGAGAGGCAGCGCGCGCCGCCAUCACCGCUUGCGAAACCCCCGGACGAAACGGCACCCCCACGGUGGUGGAGACCACCGUGUCGAGGACGCGGCAAGAUCUCUCGUCGACGGGACCGUUCGUCUCUGUGCGCGACGCUCGGCAACGAGGGUGAACGCGUUGCGGUACCGCCUAGCUACGGACAGACAAAGAGAAAGAAAGAAAUACAGCGGAGGAGAGGCCAAGAGGGCGAGAGGAGCCAGCCGAGACGCUGCGGUCCAGGGCGCGCGGAACGACGCGUUUCGCGAGGCGUUGCGGGAGAGGAAUCGCGCGUCUGACGGGCCGAUCGAUACACCCCGCCGAAAAGCGAAGUGGAAAGAGAGUGGCGGCUCUCGCUCGCGUACCUCGCCGUUCUCCCCAGGGCGGUCCAGAGCGCGACGGCGAUGACGCUGCGCGACCCCUGUAUCGUGCACGCCGGUCACUAGAGCAACCGACCGACCGACCGAUCGACCGCGUUGUGACCAUCAGCUCACGCUGAUGCACGCGCGCACGCGUGUGUGUCCACGCACGGGCGGGACGUCGUGGCGUGACCUUCGUGCGUAGGAUUCCGCGAGAGAGAGACAGAGAGAGAGACAGAAAAACAGAGAAAGAGGGAGAAAGAGAGAAAGGCAUCUCAAGAGGGAGAUUCUCCGCGGGUUUCCUCGCGGGGAUAAGAAGGACAUCGGUCCGGGUGUUGCUAUAAUCGCCGCGCCGGGGGUUGAAUUUCGUGUGGGUGAACGCCGCUCGCGAAGUGAUCUCCAAGAUAACGCGUGCUGCGCUCUCUCCUCCCCGGCAUUUCAAGCCGAUCGACAUCGCGACUGCAGCACGACAUGCCCGAAAUUCUCAGACGCAAUAAAUACGUUCGAAUCGCAUCGCGGCUCGCGGGUGCACGGGUACACCUCCCCGUGUUGUGAACCAAACGGCGUUUCGUGUGUCAGAUGUUUAACGAAGAAGAUUCUCGGGCAGAUCAUCACACGUGCGGUCUCUCCUCUCGUCGAUACGACAUCAGAAGUGCUCGAGGAAACCGCUCGACUGCUGCGGAAUUGCGGAUGCAGGCGCGGAACGGCAGGGCGAGGGCAGUCCCAUCGAAAUGCUAAGACUCCCGGAAGACAAUCGUCACUAGCAAAGCCUGUUGUGAUGUCGAAGCUCAUCGCCGUGUCCAUCGCCAUUAAUCUCCUCGCAUAUUGUUGGAGAUAAAUCCAAGGGGGGCAGCAACGUUUGAGCGUGAUGAUGUCUAGCGUUUCGGGCAAGCAGAGCGUGUCAUGUCACGCGUGACCUCGUCGGGAACUACUGAACUACGGACACUGACGAAAUCGGGGAGUGAUGAUCAGAGAGCGGCCGGAGCUGGCGAGCACCAUCGCGGGUCAGACGUGUGAUCGUCAGCACGUGUCCACACGUGGCAGCGGCCGCGGCGCGUCAUUGCUUCGCGUUGUCUUGAUCCUUUGCUGCGUCAUGAUGAUCUACGGUUCCAAUAAGGUUCCGCGCGGGAUCAAGGAGCUGCGAGACGAGAUGAAGAAUCCGCGCCAGGCACUAGGCUACUGCGAUUUCGAGGUGCCUUGUAACAUCUGGUUCUGGAACCGCACCUCGAGCUUCACGAGAGUCACGGCGUCGUCGACCAGCGUCAUCCUGCCGUCCAUGGACGCCGACAAUUCUACAAACGGCCACUUCCUGUGGUACAGAGGUCCCGGAUAUGGUCAAACGUGGUCCAUGCCGCUCCCCCGCUCAAUCAUGUACUGCCGCAUCGAGUUUUGGAUCUAUCAGGUAGAGAUGCAGCAUGGCGGGAUAAGUCUCAUCGUCGUGGAUCUGAACAACAGUAGUGUGAUGUCGUCGAAAAACGGGAAUAAUCGUGCCACAUGGGAGAGAGUAUCCUUUGAGGCGCGCGCAGCCACUCCAUCUUACAGAUUAUUCUUGGAGGUCUAUGCGCCCUUUAAGAAUUCAAGUGUCGCCAUCGACAACGUUCGCCUAACAAAUUGUUUCACAGGCAAUGUUACUUUUUGUACGGAUGAUAUGUUUCUAUGUAACGAGGGUACCUGCUUGAACAGAUCUCAGGUCUGCGAUUUAACAUACGAUUGCCCUGGCGGCGAGGAUGAACUGUUCGGAUGCGACAAGAUACCUGAGCACGCAAGAUGCAAUUUCCAGAGCGGUUGGUGCGGAUGGAAGAACGUUUCCGGGAGGCCUUUAGGCUGGACUCUCCAUAGCGGCCCCACGCCGACUGACAGGACCGGACCCAAUUUGGACCAUACCUACCGUAACAAGACAGGGAUUUACGCAUUCGUGAACAUGGCGCAAAAAUCCGCAUCUGGUGCAAACGUCGCGUAUGGCAGUCGAGCCACUCUCGAGAGCCCUUUGUACAAUCCAACGCCACCUUAUAGCAGUGAUCCCAUGAGUCCUUACUUUCAUUCAUGUCAGAUACGAUUCUACUACCACAAGUACGGUACACAUGCUGGAUCCCUGGGACUCUACCUGGUCCAGGUAAAGCCGUACGGCAAUUACACCGACAGAAUAUGGUGGUCUUAUGGAGAUAAGUUAAACGCCGACAUUUGGAUAAAAGAGGUAGUUGCGCUACCUGAAGUAAAAUAUAGAUAUUUUUUGCAAUUUGAGGCAUCCAAGGGGUUUACUUCGAAAGGCGACAUAGCGAUCGAUGAUAUUUCUUUCAGUCCAGAAUGCUUCGCUAUUGGAGUUCCACCGAAAGUUGUAGGUAAUUUUAAUUAUUACAAUCCCCUGGUUGAGAGAACGCUGCAGCAUCCAGAUUUUGAAAACGAAACAGUUGUCCGUAUUACUGCUUGUGGAGCCACAGGCAGAACCGGUCCCACUAUCGAGCAAUGCGCCGAAGAACAUAAUGGAAGCGACAUAGAACUAAUGCCGUCGUUGAUAAUACCAACUCGCGAUAUGUCAGCUUUUAAUCUGAGCGGCAUUCAACGGUGGACCGCACCGCGUGGUGAAUACUACACUUUAAUCGGCGUCGGAGCACGAGGCGGCAUGGGUUCCGGUGGCAUGGGCUCUACUCUGGGUUCCGUGGUGCGUGGUGUGAUAGAGCUUCAGAAGGGCGACCAGCUGUAUUUCAUAGUGGGUCAGAUGGGAACAAACGCCUGUCCCAAAAAUCUCGGUUUGACGACAGUUAGCUGUAAUUCACAAGCUGUCAUUACACCUCGCGGGUCAUUGUUGCCACAUGCUUUCUCGUCAAAAGUACGAGAAGUGAAGAACCUUGAGUUCAAGAAUGGCGGUGGCGGCGGCGGCGGCGCGACAGCCAUUUUUAUGUUGAGGACAAACAGCGAGCCGGAACCUAUCCUGGUCGCCGGAGGUGGUGGCGGUUUGGGAUACGGUCACUUCAUUGACGACGGUUUUCAACAUGGACGUGGUCCUGUUCCUGUCGACAAACAUCUACGUCCCCCAUCCGAGAUUGCAGAAGACAUAGGUAAUACUUCAACAUGCACGCGUGAGAAUACAGACACUCGAGUAGAGAAUACAAAUUUGAGGCGAAAUCUCGUAGGUGGACCCGGUGGGAGUUGGAACGCCUCAUGGGCUGACAGUUUCGAUCCGCAAGAUGUUGUGGGAAUGUCAUUGAUUCACGGUGGUUUGGGAGGAUUCGGCUGCGAGCUCGGGAAGAAUGAGAGUUACGGUGAUGGUGGCUUCGGUGGAGGCGGCGGCGGUUGUCAGACCGGCGGCGGUGGUGGUGGUUACAUUGGCGGUAAUACCGGACACAAGGACUCCGGUAAUGGCGAGGGUGGUUACUCAUAUGCCAGUUUAAAACUCACGAAUAUCCACUUCAAGGACGCAGCUCAUUACGGGCCGGGUGAAAUCCUCAUUAUACCUGCGAUCAGUGGCUGCGGCUGUGAUUAUCGCUGCGUUGCUCUCGAUCAGUUUCUGAGCGAAACUAAGUGUCUCUGCCCUCAGGGUUGGUUGCUCAGCAACGACUCAAAGUCCUGCAUCAUGAUUGAGGACACCAAGGAUAUAAUACGCCAAACAUACAUGAUUCCGCUUAUAUGUAUAAUCAUGGCCCUGUUCGUCAUUGUCAUAAUUGGCGUAACAUAUUAUAACAGGUACCAAAACCAAAAAGCACUUCUACAUCGCCGCCACGCGAUGUUCGGCAACGGCACGGAAUUGUCUGCGCUGCACGGGAUGCCAGAAUCCUCCAUGGAAUUAAACCCCAAUUACGAGUUGGACGGAAAUCUGUACAAUCUCAAAGACCUGCCACAAAUACCUCACAAGAACAUUACUUUGAUAAAAGCCCUCGGUCAAGGCGCUUUCGGCGAAGUUUAUCAAGGUAUGUGCAGGAUCGACUCAGAGGAACAUCCUGUCGCCAUAAAGACGCUACCGUCUCUGUCCACGAUGCAGGCAGAGGCUGAUUUCAUGAUGGAGGCGUUGAUAAUGAGCAAAUUUACGCACUCUAACAUAGUGAAGUUUAUCGGCGUCUCUUUUGAGAAGCAUCCGAGAUACAUCAUCCUCGAAUUGUUAGCCGGGGGUGACCUUAAGAAUUUCUUACGCGAAGAGAGACCUCGACCAGACCGAGCUACAUCCUUAACGAUGCACGAUCUCAUCACGUGCAGCUUCGAUGUCGCGAAUGGCUGCAAGUACUUGGAAGAGGCGCACUUCAUACACCGAGACAUCGCCGCUAGGAAUUGCUUAUUGACCACCAAGGGACCGGGGCGUACCGUGAAGAUCGCGGAUUUCGGCAUGGCCAGGGACAUUUACCGAAGCGAUUAUUACAAGAAAGACGGCAAGGCGAUGCUGCCCGUAAAGUGGAUGCCGCCCGAAAGCUUCCUGGACGGCAUAUUCACUUCGAAGACUGACGUAUGGUCCUUCGGUAUCCUUCUAUGGGAGAUCAUGUCCUUCGGAUAUAUGCCAUACACCGGAUGUACGAAUCGCGAGGUCAUAUCGAUGGUGACGGCCGGCGGCCGUCUCGAGAAUCCUGCCGGUUGUCCGGAUCCCAUCUACGGGAUCAUGACGCAAUGCUGGCACCCACGGCCUAACGACAGACCAAGCUUCGCCAAUAUCGUCCAGAGCAUCAGUUAUUGCUUGCAGGACCCGAGCGUGAUAAAUCACCCCACGCCUAAUUUCGACAUAUUGCCCAUCUGCGAUCGCGAAACGACGAUCAUGAGACCAGACCCGAGCGCGGAGUGCAUCAACGUGCAGUCUGAAAACGACGAAUUUGUGCAACAGCUGGACAAACGCGGUUACAUGCAGCCGAAGAUCAUCAGUUCACGAUCCGCUGCGCGUAACAAGGGGCACAUAAUAAGCGGCGUUAUCUACAACAUAAGGGACGAGAAGAUUAGGAGCGGCGACUUGCAGAUUGGAACUUUCGGAAGAUCGGAAUGCCGGCAGGGGACGUACGGUUGCAACGCGUAUGAUUUCACCCAGGAUACUUUCAGACAAGCCUACGAUGACGAGAAUGAUUACGAUGAUAAUUAUGACGACGAGAUGACCGAAGAUUGCGAGGACAAAUGCGGGGUCGACCAAUCCGAUUGGCAGGACAGCAGGACAAUACAUCGAACUAAUAACAUCGAAGAUGGCCAUAACGCAGAUAACGGUAAUAACCGUCCAGACGAGGACUAUCACUUGAUCGAUAGCGCAAAAACGGACCGCAGGAACGGUAAUGAGAGUACAACGACUACCGACACCAAUUCCGCCUCCCUAAUAGCGCGAUCCUCGGACACCCCGCCCGACACGACGAACUCGUCGCCCAACACGCGCACCUGUUCGCCAAAUCGCACCGCUGGCCUCAACAACGUGAACGGUACGGUGAAGAGGAACACCUUGAAGGCGACGCUGAGCCUGGACGCGAGUGCGCUCUGCAGAAACACCAUUCCCUACGAGAAGAUCACGACACAACGCUCGAGCACGCCGGGCAGUAUGGAGCUGAGGAAGGUAACUUGACCCCUUCCUUACACCCGGCGUCCUGCAAAGUUUCCAUCUAUAGAUGACCGCGGCCCUUGAUCGAAGGAUUCUCUGGGACAUGAACUACCGAGAGAGGAGGAGUGCUCUUGCUGAGAUUUAUCCGAGGGGGGUUGACGAGGCUGCCCGGAAGCCGCGGCCGCGAUCGCGCUCAGCUGCAACGUCGCGCGCCGGCUGCAGCUGCAACGAUCCGCCACGACGACUGCGGUUACGAGGGACACGCAGCUCGUAGAACUCUCCUCGCCACCGUGGACCCACGACAACGAAUAUUCACGUCGUUUCUACUCCGAGGAGACUCUCCUGUAAAUAGGAACCGGAAAACCACGAGUUUCCUUCACGGCCGAUAAUUCUUUUUUGACACAAGUCGCGGUUCUUGUUUGCAUAAGAAAGACGCACGAUUGUUGCAAGUCUGAGAGAGAGAUUGUUGAACUUGAAUGCACACGAUAGGCCAGUUGUUGUACAAACAAAGUUGUUGUACAUACAAAGAAAAUGGAAGAUACCAAAUACGUAAUAUACUCAUAUAUCCAGUACGCUAAAUCAAGAUGAUCUCAUCGAGCUAAGCUUCCUAAUUUCGUAUUUUGAGGAUGAGAUGGGCAACUUAUAAAAUUGUUGUUGGAUCGGGCUCGUUACGGGGAUGCACACGAGUUAACCAGGGUAACGACGUAGCGGCUCGUGGAACCGCUAUUAGCAUUAAAAGUAAAAAAAAAAAGAAAAUAUGUGAAUAUGUACUUUGAAACUGCAGAUAAAUAAGUAGUAUUCGAGCAGAAAUAAAUUAAGCAGCCUACGAUUAAGCAGCGUCGAGCGCUCGAGCAUACAGCUUCGAUCUGUAAAUCCGUGAAGCUUGCGCGGACUGGUUUUAAUUUAUUUGAAGAAAAAAAAAAGAGCGAGGAGAAAUGAAGGGGAUGUUUGCAAUGUAUAUGUAUAUAUAUUCAAUAUUUAAAGGUCUAACGAAUGCGAGUAGCUUUAAAAAAAGUGGAAUAUAUAUUUCUGAUUCGGAGGGUUGCUAUCUGUCUAAUCGGUAAGAGUUGUCGCAACGGGAUCAAUUUCGAUCCGAAUGUGUCAUGGCUGUCGAGUAACAAUGGUGUUAUACUGUAAUAGCGAUGUAAAAGUCUCCAUAGGCUGAUCGUCUACCUCGUGACUCACAUUUAAACCAGAAAAGCAACGACACGAACUCUCAGUCCUCGUUGGUACACCACCGUCAUUAUAGAGCGGGCAAAAUAAUGAAUGCACAUUGGUAAGGUAACCAGGGGGCAUAAGGGGAAAUAAAAAAAAGAGCACGAGCCCUUUUUUAUUUUUCUUACGACGACGUACUUUACGUGCGCGUAGCGUAUGAAAGUCAACCACUAGGUAUCUGUGCGUGAAACGUAAUAAAGAUGUGUUUAUGGAA